rnacentral:lncRNA from 1 species
AAAAAAAUACCAAUCGAUAAGCAGUCUACUUGGAGGCAUAUAAGGGAACGUAUCACACCAAUCUAUUUUGUUAGAAUGAUGGCUAAGAACAGACAAAGUUUAUACGGCAAACUCCAGCAAUACAACACUUGGUUGCAGUCAUUAACAACGUCUCCGAAAGGAAACUAAACAAUUCAUUCUUUUUUGAAUUUUUGAGACACGAUGUUGAUUGCUGUAUCUCUAUUUUGACAAUUUUAUCAAUUAUGUCUGUUUUGUUCACGCAUCGUUACAAAUAUAAUGGAAUUUGAUGUGACUGUCAUGCAAGUAAGAUGUUAAGCGCUACAAAACCAAGUUCAAUCUACCAUUUCCCACAUUUGAAAAUGCCUUUACAAAGUUAGGAAUAUGACAGUUGUUGUCCAAUUGUUUUAUGUGUUUUAUCAUUUGAUUUAGCCAUUUGA